rnacentral:rRNA from 1 species
UACGUAGGUGGCAAGCGUUGUCCGGAUUUAUUGGGCGUAAAGCGAGCGCAGGCGGUUCCUUAAGUCUGAUGUGAAAGCCCACGGCUCAACCGUGGAAGGUCAUUGGAAACUGGGGAACUUGAGUGCAGAAGAGGAGAGUGGAAUUCCAUGUGUAGCGGUGAAAUGCGUAGAUAUAUGGAGGAACACCAGUGGCGAAGGUGACUCUCUGGUCUGUAACUGACGCUGAGGCUCGAAAGCGUGGGGAGCAAACAGGAUUAGA